GCCGCAAUGGUGGAAUUGGUAGACACGAUGGACUUAAAAUCCAUUUGUCCGAAUGGACAAAUGCAGGUUCGACUCCUGUUUGCGGCACAA
rnacentral:tRNA from 1 species